rnacentral:rRNA from 1 species
GACGAACGCUGGCGGCGUGCUUAACACAUGCAAGUCGAACGGUGAAGCGCCUUCCUUUUUGGUGGGUGGGGAGGAGCGGCGAACGGGUGAGUAACACGUGAGCAACCUGCCCCCUUCUGCUGGAUAACCGCAUGAAAGUGUGGCUACUACGGGAUAUUCUGGGUCUGUCGCAUGAUGGGUCUGGGACAGAUAUUGUUUCGGUGGGGGAUGGGCUCGCGGCCUAUCAGCUUGUUGGUGGGGUGAUGGCCUACCAAGGCGGUGACGGGUAGCCGGCCUGAGAGGGUCGACGGUCACGCAGCGGCGGCGCGACCGCCCAGCCUCCUACGGGAGGCAGCAGGGGGGAUUAUUGCACAGGGGGCGGCAUGCUGGUGCAGCGCCGCCUCGUGGGGGAUGGUCGCCGGCGGGUAGUGAUCCGCUUUCGGCAGUGAAGCAGGGUUGCCGUGUUUGUGGGUGGGUUGACGGUAGCUGGACAAGAAGCGCCGGCUAACUACGUG